CCCUUAGAAGUCCUGGGCCGCACGCGUGCUACACUGACUCGCGCAACAAGUUCAUCCUAACCCGCAAAGGGGAUUGGAAAUCUUUACAAUACGAGUCGUACUAUGGAUUGAGGCUUGCAAUUUUUUCUCAUGAAAUAGGAAUUCCUAGUAAGCAUAAGUCAUCAUCUUGUGCUGAUUACGUCCCUGAUCUUUGUACACACCGCCCGUCGCUCCUACCGAUUGAGUGAAUAGAUGAAUUUUUUGGAUUAUUGGCUUUGCUGAAUAAGAAGUUAAAUAAAUCUUAUCACUUAGAGGAAGGAGAAGUCGUAACA
rnacentral:rRNA from 1 species